GAUGCCAGCUUCAUCCUCCAGUGGCUGUGGGCUCCUGGCGCUCUAAAAUCUUAGCACUCUUUGGUGAAUUUUCUGGGCCGUUCUUAGGACUUAAAUAAGCAAACAUGUGAUUGCAGUCCCUUCAUGCAACAUGAAACCUCAAGCAUGAGCCGUCUGGAUCAUGGAAGGCAACUGCUGGAAGACACAGGCUCCCGGAGCUUUCCCGUGAAUCGUUUCUACUCAUCCAUUCAUUCUGUGUUAGACUCGUUCUGGCUAGCGGACAAGUGCUAACAGGCACUAAAGGUGGAGCAAAAAUGUAUGAGAGUCUCCAGCUGAGGAAAGUCUGUAUGAUCACAUAUUUUUAGUGCACCAGGAUUGAUUUAGGCAGCGCACCCUCCAGGCACGCUUCCUCAGCAACAGCCUUGAAGAUUCUCCUAUUCAGAGACGCCCUGAGCAUAAAUGGGGGAGCAGGUUACGGUCAAGACGAUCUAAAACGUUCAAGUACACUGAUUGGCCUAUGGACUUAACCUAAGGAAAAUCCUAAAACAGACGCAGGUCUACACACCAUUUUAUUGCUGUCUCAGUCACUUUGUGUCUGUGAUAAAACACCAUGACCAAGG